rnacentral:rRNA from 1 species
GACGAAGGGGGCUAGCGUUGUUCGGAAUUACUGGGCGUAAAGGGCGCGUAGGCGGUUCGUUAAGUCCUGUGUGAAAUCCCCCGGCUCAACUGGGGAACUGCACAGGAAACUAGCGGGCUUGAGUUCGGGAGAGGGAAGCGGAAUUCCGGGUGUAGCGGUGAAAUGCGUAGAUAUCCGGAGGAACACCGGUGGCGAAGGCGGCUUCCUGGACCGACACUGACGCUGAGGCGCGAAAGCUAGGGGAGCAAACGGG